GAAGGACUAGAUGCCAGCUUCUGAACUUGCAUGUGCCAGCUUGCAGUCUUGAGACACAGUCAACUGAAAGCCCUGAACGGAUGCACAACACAGAAGAGAUUAGAUGUGUCAUGAACCUGCUCCGGUUCAAUCCCAGGACUCAAUUCCCAACCCAGAGCAAUUGAUCCUGGCAAGGCACAAACCUGUGCUUCCCUUACCAGGGCUGAGUAACUACCAACAACCCUGCAAGAGGAAAUUACAUACUGGUUGUGGACUGAAAGCAACAGCAAUGGAACAAUUGUGAUCUCAUGAUCUGGACACUAUACUUCUGU